rnacentral:lncRNA from 1 species
GUAAUCAUUCAAUUUUAUUCUUUUUUGUAGUAUAUAAUUAUAUUUUAAUUAGUUUUGCCCAAAAAUUGGAAAUCAAUAAAACUUGCUUGGUGCUUUGCGGAUAGUUGAUAUGAUCUACUGUGGUCUUUUUCUAAAACUAUUUUUAAAUUUUUAUGCCUCUUAACUAUUUUUAAAUUUUUUGCAUAAAACUGUUUUUGUGCAAACACAAUAAAAAAGUAUUGCUACUCAAUUAUCAAGUUGAAAAUAUGCGUAUCCACGUUCCAUGUAAACUGUCAAACAUAAAAUGGCCUUGUGUCUUUCUUGCUUAUGUUGUUUGGUACAAUGUUGUCGCCUUCUUAUUAGACUCUUGAAUUUUUAGCUUUUCUGGAUAUCAUUUUUGAAUCUUGACUUCAUUUUCACUACUAAUAUUCGAUAGGGUUAACUGCUCCAUCAUACACUAACAUUUUCUGAUGAUUUUAUUAGGUUUUUCAACUUUAAAAUUCUCCAUUUGCCUCCUAUAUAUUUCAACACAAAUAAAUGCAGUAUUUCAGACUUUCUAUGGAAAAUCAAUAGCUUCUCUUCCUGGAAUCAUUUUCACAGUUUGACCCAAAGCUUCAACGCAAACAUUAAUCUGCCAUUAAAAUUUUAGCUAAGAUUUCAACUUGACUCUAAUGUAUGAUCUUAAAGUAGUUAAAGUAAGCAAAAGCUCUUGAAAAUGUCAAGUCAUAUUAGACAACAGGCAUUCAUUAUGUCUAUGACAGCUUGAUUAUCUCAAGCUUAGAUUUUUUUUUGGUAGGUAUCUCAUGCCUAGAAUAGACUAAAUAACAAAUUAUUGCUCAGAAUUAAAAGCUGUUCACCCAUUUGCUGAUGUUAUUCUAAGUAACUGAGCUGUCCUAUUGGUUUGCAUAUAAUGAGUGUUCUAUCAAAUAGUCAAAUUUCUAUAUACACACUAGAAAAAAGAUUGUAGUGAUGGACAUCAAUAACAGAUUUUAUGCACCAUAGUCAUUUCCAACCUCCUGGUACUGAUGCUUUGGUCUUUAAUCACAAUGAAGCUAUACAGACUCUAAGUUAGUUUUUCUUACAAUAUACAUGUCUGCUAUAUGUGACCUGUUGUUGUUCUAAAUAAGGAAUGGGAGUGCU